CGACGGUCGUUCCUCUCUUUGCCCCGAGUUAUGGGCUUGUGGGAUUUUAGACUGUCGCAGAUUAAAACUGACCUUUUUCACUCAGGAGUGUGCUCUGGCGGGUUGGCUGCCUCUACACGCUUACUGAAUUUUGCGGGGUCAAACACUU